CGUUGAUGAUGCUACUAUUUCACGUGCAAUUGUACUCGGAUUGGGUUUCAAAUCGGAAGGCUUCCAAAUUGAUCGAGGAGCAAAGCUUCUGCCACAAGAUUCAGAAGGUAGGAUUGAAAAUUCCAAACACAAGGUGAGCCCUGCCAUGCUGGCUUCUUGUAGUUCUACUUCUAAACGUUCGCAGGUAACUACAGCUCUCAAAGCAGCCAACAAGUACCAGCUGUAGUAUCCUUCAUUCACAGUAGUUAUCCGGUCGCAUAAUCUAUUGAAGUGACAUGCGGUAAGAAAAGAUCUCGAGCUAAUAGUUCUCAUUUGCAAAAUUUGGACAGGAAUGAGAUCUAUUACCUUCUACUAAGACUGUCCCAAGCAGGAUUUUAAAGGGACACGUCAAUGGAGGAAUGCAAACCGCAUCUCUUAGAUAUUUGGAUGGAUCAUGGCCAGUGAAGCUCAUGUACUACCCACAACAUGGCCAGGGAAAGCUCUCUGCCGGUUGGGCUGCAUUUCAGAGAGGAACUUCUCAGAAGGAAGGAGUUGUCCAUGCGUUUGAGCUUGCAAGAAUUGAUAAUAUUGAACUCGAAGUCUGCAUUUUCAAAAGGAACGCCAAGUCUUGGGUGUAAACUUCGGUUUGUCUACAGAAAAAUUUUUGCUUCACUAUAUUUUGUUUUUUGUUAGUCAGAUGAAAGAAAGAAAGACUUUUUGCUGCAAGUAAUUGAAUGGUGAUGUAUUUCC